rnacentral:lncRNA from 1 species
GGUCGGGUCCUCUGACAGUCGGUCGGUCGGUCGGUGGGUAUCCCCCAACAGUUGCCCCCCUCCACUCCUAAGUCGGGAGGUGAGCUGGCCGAUGCUUUCAUUCGGGCAGCAACCCCGGACGACUGGGAGUGGAUUUGUCGCAUGCGUAGAUCCGACCGUACCGCCAGCUGAUCCGAUGUCAAACGCCUCAUAAAUGCCAAGCGACCCGGACGUCUAGGCGGUGUCAGAAGUCACGUCGGCGUCAGGUGUCAGACGCCACAUCUUGUCGUCGUCAGACGUUACGUCGGUGUCAGUGGAUCGGGCGCCGGACGAUACGGCGUCAGACGACCGGUUAUUCGGCGCCGAUCGCGGGAGAGU